rnacentral:rRNA from 1 species
UACGGAGGGGGCUAGCGUUGUUCGGAAUUACUGGGCGUAAAGCGCACGUAGGCGGCUUUGUAAGUUAGAGGUGAAAGACCGGAGCUCAACUUCGGAAUUGCCUUUAAUACUGCAUCGCUUGAACGUCGGAGAGGUGAGUGGAAUUCCGAGUGUAGAGGUGAAAUUCGUAGAUAUGCGGAAGAACACCAGUGGCGAAGGCGGCUCACGGGACGACUGCUGACGCUGAGGUGCGAAAGCGUGGGGAGCAAACAGG